rnacentral:rRNA from 1 species
CCUACGGGAGGCUGCAGUGGGGAAUAUUGCACAAUGGGCGCAAGCCUGAUGCAGCCAUGCCGCGUGUGUGAAGAAGGCCUUCGGGUUGUAAAGCACUUUCAGCGGGGAGGAAGGCGGUGAGGUUAAUAACCUCAUCGAUUGACGGUACCCGCAGAGGAAGCACCGGCUAACUCCGUGCCAGCAGCCGCGGUAAUACGGAGGGUGCAAGCGUUAAUCGGAAUUACUGGGCGUAAAGCGCACGCAGGCGGUCUGUCAAGUCGGAUGUGAAAUCCCCGGGCUCAACCUGGGAACUGCAUUCGAAACUGGCAGGCUAGAGUCUUGUAGAGGGGGGUAGAAUUCCAGGUGUAGCGGUGAAAUGCGUAGAGAUCUGGAGGAAUACCGGUGGCGAAGGCGGCCCCCUGGACAAAGACUGACGCUCAGGUGCGAAAGCGUGGGGAGCAAACAGGAUUAGAUACCCCUGUAGUC